GACGAACGCUGGCGGCGUGCUUAACACAUGCAAGUCGAACGGUAGGCUCCAGCUUGCUGGGGUACACGAGUGGCGAACGGGUGAGUAACACGUGGGUGACCUGCCCUGCACUUCGGGAUAAGCCUGGGAAACUGGGUCUAAUACCAGAUAGGACCGCGCCGUGAGGGUGUGGUGGAAAGUUUUUUCGGUGUGGGAUGGGCCCGCGGCCUAUCAGCUUGUUGGUGGGGUAAUGGCCUACCAAGGCGGCGACGGAUAGCCGGCCUGAGAGGGUGGACGGCCACAUUGGGACUGAGACACGGCCCAGACUCCUACGGGAGGCAGCAGUGGGAAUAUUGCACAAUGGGCGGAAGCCUGAUGCAGCGACGCCGCGUGGGGGAUGACGGCCUUCGGGUUGUAAACUCCUUUCACCAUCGACGAAGGGUUUCUGACGGUAGAUGGAGAAGAAGCACCGGCUAACUACGUGCCAGCAGCCGCCGUAA
rnacentral:rRNA from 1 species